AUGUUGGUGAACCAGACGCCUAGCCGCCACCCAAAAGAAACCCUAGAGAUGGAUCCUGACAUGGGAGAUGUCACAGAGGAGGAGGGGGCUGUGGAGGUUAGGGCAGCAGUAGCAGCACAGAGGAGGAGGAGGAGGAGGAGGAGGAGGAGGAGGCGCGGGCAGAGGGCACUAGAGGCGGCCCAGGAUGAGCAGCAACAGGAGUUCAACCGCCGACUCUCCGACAAGGUACUAAAGAAAUGCAAUGAUGAAGAACUGGAGCUGGUUUUCACUGGUGGCAGGGGAAGGACAUUCAUGGAUAUCAUUAGCUGGGCAAGGAUGAGGGCAGUCAUGGCUCCCCAUGCAGCUAAUAGGGCCAAGUGGGUAUGUUUCUUCGUGCGCUAUGACUGA
rnacentral:rRNA from 1 species